rnacentral:rRNA from 1 species
GGGUUGUGAGGUUAAGCGACUAAGCGUACACGGUGGAUGCCCUGGCAGUCAGAGGCGAUGAAGGGCGUGCUAAUCUGCGAUAAGCGCCGGUAAGGUGAUAUGAACCGUUAUAACCGGCGAUACCCGAAUGGGGAAACCCAGUGUGAUUCGUCACACUAUCAUUAACUGAAUCCAUAGGUUAAUGAGGCGAACCGGGGGAACUGAAACAUCUAAGUACCCCGAGGAAAAGAAAUCAACCGAGAUUCCCCCAGUAGCGGCGAGCGAACGGGGAGGAGCCCAGAGCCUGAAUCAGCAUGUGUGUUAGUGGAAGCGUCUGGAAAGGCGCGCGAUACAGGGUGACAGCCCCGUACACAAAAGCGCAUGUGCUGUGAGCUCGAUGAGUAGGGCGGGACACGUGGUAUCCUGUCUGAAUAUGGGGGGACCAUCCUCCAAGGCUAAAUACUCCUGACUGACCGAUAGUGAACCAGUACCGUGAGGGAAAGGCGAAAAGAACCCCGGCGAGGGGAGUGAAAAAGAACCUGAAACCGUGUACGUACAAGCAGUGGGAGCACAGGUUUACCUGUGUGACUGCGUACCUUUUGUAUAAUGGGUCAGCGACUUAUAUUCUGUAGCAAGGUUAACCGUAUAGGGGAGCCGGAGGGAAACCGAGUCUUAAUUGGGCGUUAAGUUGCAGGGUAUAGACCCGAAACCCGGUGAUCUAGCCAUGGGC